rnacentral:rRNA from 1 species
GACGAACGCUGGCGGCGUGCUUAACACAUGCAAGUCGAACGGAAAGGCCCUGCUUGCAGGGUACUCGAGUGGCGAACGGGUGAGUAACACGUGGGUGUUCUGCCCUGCACUUCGGGAUAAGCCUUGGAAACUGGGUCUAAUACCGGAUAGGAGCCAUUUUUAUUGUGAUGGUUGGUAAGUUUUUUCGGUGUAGGAUGAGCUCGCGGCCUAUCAGCUUGUUGGUGGGGUAAUGGCCUACCAAGGCGGCGACGGGUAGCCGGCCUGAGAGGGUGGACGGCCACAAUGGGACUGGGGUACGGCCCAGACUCCUACGGGAGGGAGGAGUGGGGAAUAUUGCACAAUGGGCGCAAGCCUGAUGCAGCGACGCCGCGUGGGGGAUGACGGCCUUCGGGUUGUAAACUCCUUUCGCUAGGGACGAAGCUUUUUGUGACGGUACCUAGAUAAGAAGCACCGGCUAACUACGUG